GGCCCCAUGGCGCAAUGGUAGCGCGUCAGAUUCCAGCUUCAGUUGGAGCAUCCUGAAGGUUAGGCGUUCAAAUCGCCUUGGGGUCA
rnacentral:tRNA from 1 species